rnacentral:rRNA from 1 species
AUUGAACGCUGGCGGCAUGCCUAACACAUGCAAGUCGAACGAGUGGCGGACGGGUGAGUAAUGUCUGGGAAACUGCCUGAUGGCGGGGGAUAACUACUGGAAACGGUAGCUAAUACCGCAUACCAUCAGAUGGGCCCAUAUGGGAUUAGCUAGUUGGUGGGGUAACGGCUCACCAAGGCGACGAUCCCUAGCUGGUCUGAGAGGAUGACCAGCCACACUGGAACUGAGACACGGCCCAGACUCCUACGGGAGGCAGCAGUGGGGAAUAUUGCACAAGGGGCGCAAGCCUGAUGCAGCCAUGCCGCGUGUAUGAAGAAGGCCUUCGGGUUGUAAAGUACUUUCAGCUGGGAGGCGUUACCCGCAGAAGAAGCACCGGCUAACUACGUGCCAGCAGCCGCGGUAAUAC